rnacentral:rRNA from 1 species
CAGCAUGAACUUAGCUUGCUAAGUUUGAUGGCGACCGGCGCACGGGUGAGUAACACGUAUCCAACCUGCCGAUGACUCGGGGAUAGCCUUUCGAAAGAAAGAUUAAUACCCGAUGGCAUAGUUCUUCCGCAUGGUAGAACUAUUAAAGAAUUUCGGUCAUCGAUGGGGAUGCGUUCCAUUAGGUUGUUGGCGGGGUAACGGCCCACCAAGCCUUCGAUGGAUAGGGGUUCUGAGAGGAAGGUCCCCCACAUUGGAACUGAGACACGGUCCAAACUCCUACGGGAGGCAGCAGUGAGGAAUAUUGGUCAAUGGACGAGAGUCUGAACCAGCCAAGUAGCGUGAAGGAUGACUGCCCUAUGGGUUGUAAACUUCUUUUAUACGGGAAUAAAGUGAGGCACGUGUGCCUUUUUGUAUGUACCGUAUGAAUAAGGAUCGGCUAACUCCGUGCCAGCAGCCGCGGUAAUACGGAGGAUCCGAGCGUUAUCCGGAUUUAUUGGGUUUAAAGGGAGCGUAGGCGGACGCUUAAGUCAGUUGUGAAAGUUUGCGGCCCAACCGUAAAAUUGCAGUUGAUACUGGGUGUCUUGAGUACAGUAGAGGUGGGCGGAAUUCGUGGUGUAGCCGGUGAAAUGCUUAGAUAUCACGAAGAACUCCGAUUGCGAAGGCAGCUCACUGGACUGCAAC